rnacentral:misc_RNA from 1 species
AAAUGCGAUAACUAAUGUGAAUUGCAGAAUUCAGUGAAUCAUCGAGUCGUUGAACGCACAUUGCGCCCCCUGGUAUUCCGGGGGGCAUGCCUGUCCGAGCGUCAUUGCUGCCCUCAAGCCCGGCUUGUGUGUUGGGUCGCCGUCCCCCUCUCCGGGGGGACGGGCCCGAAAGGCAGCGGCGGCACCGCGUCCAACAAGCUGAACCCCCCCGUCUUUGACCUCGGAUCAGGUAGGGAUACCCGCUGAACUUAAGC